rnacentral:rRNA from 1 species
UACGUAGGCAGCAAGCGUUGUUCGGAGUUACUGGGCGUAAAGGGUGUGUAGGCGGUUCUUUAAGUUUGCUGUGAAAUCUCCCGGCUUAACCGGGAGGGUGCGGUGAAUACUGAGGGACUAGAGUACGGGAGAGGAAAGUGGAAUUCCUGGUGUAGCGGUGAAAUGCGUAGAUAUCAGGAGGAACACCGGUGGUGUAGACGGCUUUCUGGACCGACACUGACGCUGAGGCGCGAAAGCUAGGGGAGCAAACGGG